rnacentral:snRNA from 1 species
AGAUGUGAGGGCAAUCUGGCUGUGACAUCUGUCACUCCAUUGAUCACCAGGAUUGAUUCAGCUGAUCUGUCUGGCUAGGAGGGCAUCCCCUUUCUCCCUCACCACUCCAUGUGCAUCCCUCCCCAAGCUGUGCACUCGAUCAGUCAAAGAGGAUGACCUUCCCCAAAUACAGGAGGACCAGUCUUCAAUCAAGGGUAUAUGAUAGCUGCGCUCCUCUGCUAGAACCUCCAGACAAGCUCCCCUUGUGCACAUGUGCAACCCUGCAUGCUUGUGUCACUGUGCAUCUGGCUUAUGUGGGACCUA